rnacentral:rRNA from 1 species
UACGUAGGGGGCAAGCGUUGUCCGGAAUUAUUGGGCGUAAAGAGCGUGUAGGCGGUCCGGUAAGUCAGCUGUGAAAGUCAAGGGCUCAACCCUUGAAUGCCGGUUGAUACUGUCGGGCUAGAGUCCGGAAGGGGCGAGUGGAAUUCCUGGUGUAGCGGUGAAAUGCGCAGAUAUCAGGAGGAACACCGAUGGCGAAGGCAGCUCGCUGGGACGGUACUGACGCUGAGGCACGAAAGUGUGGGGAUCAAACAGG